CCCUGGUUAGCUCGGUUGGUAGAGUGCGCCACUGGAAAUGGAGAGGUCCCGGGUUCGAUACUUGGACCAGGCG
rnacentral:tRNA from 1 species